AUUGAACGCUGGCGGCAGGCCUAACACAUGCAAGUCGAACGAGUGGCGGACGGGUGAGUAAUGUCUGGGACACUGCCUGAUGGACGGGGAUAACUACUGGAAAAGGUAGCUAAUACCGCAUACCAUCGGAUGUGCCCAGAUGGGAUGAUCUCUGAGGUGGGGUAAAGGCUCACCUGGGCGACGAUCCCUAGCUGGUCUGAGAGGAUGACCAGCCACACUGGAACUGAGACACGGUCCAGACUCCUACGGUGGGCAGCAGUGGGGAAGAUUGCACAAUGGGCGCGAGCCUGAUGCAGCCAUGCCGCGUGUAUGAAGAAGGCCUUCGGGUUGUAAAGUACUUUCAGCGGGGAGGCGUUACCCGCAGAAGAAGCACCGGCUAACUCCGUGCCAGCAGCCGCGGUAAUUC
rnacentral:rRNA from 1 species